CCUACGGGUGGCAGCAGUGAGGAAUAUUGGUCAUUGGUCGGGAGACUGAACCAGCCAAGCCGCGUGAGGGAUGAAGGUACAGAGUAUCGUAAACCUCUUUUGUCAGGGAACAAAGGCGGGGACGUGUCCCCGGAUGAGUGUACCUGAAGAAAAAGCAUCGGCUAACUCCGUGCCAGCAGCCGCGGUAAUCCGGAGGAUGCGAGCGUUAUCCGGAUUUAUUGGGUUUAAAGGGUGCGCAGGCGGUCUGUUUAGUCAGCGGUAAAAGCCCGGGGACCAACCCCGGACCGCCGUUGAAACUGGCAGUCUCGAGUUGGAGAGAAGUAUGCGGAAUGCGCGGUGUAGCGGUGAAAUGCAUAGAUAUCGCGCAGAACUCCGAUUGCGAAGGCAGCAUGCCGGCUCCACACUGACGCUGAGGCACGAAAGCGUGGGUAUCGAACAGGAUUAGAUACCCCAGUAGUC
rnacentral:rRNA from 1 species